rnacentral:rRNA from 1 species
GACGAACGCUGGCGGCGUGCCUAAUACAUGCAAGUCGAACGAGAGCGACCGGUGCUUGCACUGGUCAAUCUAGUGGCGAACGGGUGAGUAACACGUGGGUAACCUGCCCAUCAGAGGGGGAUAACAUUCAGAAACGGAUGCUAAAACCGCAUAGGUCUUCGAACCGCAUGGUUUGAAGAGGAAAAGAGGCGCAAGCUUCUGCUGAUGGAUGGACCCGCGGUGCAUUAGCUAGUUGGUGAGGUAACGGCUCACCAAGGCCGUGACGCAUAGCCGACCUGAGAGGGUGAUCGGCCACAUUGGGACUGAGACACGGCCCAAACUCCUACGGGAGGCAGCAGUAGGGAAUCUUCCGCAAUGGACGCAAGUCUGACGGAGCAACGCCGCGUGAGUGAAGAAGGUUUUCGGAUCGUAAAACUCUGUUGUUAGAGAAGAACAAGUGCUAGAGUAACUGUUAGCGCCUUG